UACGUAGGUGACAAGCGUUGUCCGGAUUUACUGGGCGUAAAGAGCGCGCAGGCGGUCGUUCAAGUCGAGUGUGAAAGCCCCCGGCUCAACUGGGGAGGGUCACUCGAUACUGAUCGACUCGAAGGCAGGAGAGGGAAGUGGAAUUCCCGGUGUAGUGGUGAAAUGCGUAGAUAUCGUGAGGAACACCAGAGGCGAAGGCGGUUACCUGGACAGUUACUGACGCUCAGGCACGAAAGCAUGGGGAGCAAAAGGG
rnacentral:rRNA from 1 species